rnacentral:rRNA from 1 species
GACGAACGCUGGCGGCGUGCCUAACACACGCAAGUCGAACGGAGUUAAGACUUCGGUUUUAACUUAGUGGCGAACGGGUGAGUAACGCGUGAGAAACCUGCCUUUCAGUGGGGGACAACAGUUGGAAACGACUGCUAAUACCGCAUAAUGUACACGGACCGCAUGAUCUGUGUACCAAAGCUUUAUGUGCUGAAAGAUGGUCUCGCGUCUGAUUAGCUAGAUGGCGGGGUAACGGCCCACCAAACCUACGAUGGAUAGGGGCUCUGAGAGGAAGGUCCCCCACAUUGGAACUGAGACACGGUCCAA